GGAGCGGGGGGCUAUACAUGCAAGUCGAACGCACAGCGAAAGKUGCUUGCWCCUUUCAAGUGAGUGGCGAACGGGUGAGUAACACGUGGACAACCUGCCUCAAGGSUGGRGAUAACAUUUGGAAACAGWUKCUAAUACCGAAUAAAACUUAGUGUCSCAUGACMCAAAGUUAAAAGGCGYUUCGGCGUCACCUAGAGAUGGAUCCGSGGUGCAUUAGUUAGUUGGUGGGGUAAAGGCCUACCAAGACAAUGAUGCAUAGCCGAGUUGAGAGACUGAUCGGCCACAUUGGGACUGAGACMCGGCCCAAACUCCUACGGGAGGCUGCAGUAGGGAAUCUUCCACAAUGGGCGAAAGCCUGAUGGAGCAACGCCGCGUGUGUGAUGAAGGCUUUCGGGUCGUAAAGCACUGUUGUAUGGGAAGAACAGCUAGAAUAGGAAAUGAUUUUAGUUUGACGGUACCAUACCAGAAAGGGACGGCUAAAUACGUGCCAGCAGCCGCGGUAAUACGUAUGUCCCGAGCGUUAUCCGGAUUUAUUGGGCGUAAAGCGAGCGCAGACGGUUUAUUAAGUCUGAUGUGAAAGCCCGGAGCUCAACUCCGGAAUGGCAUUGGAAACUGGUUAACUUGAGUGCAGUAGAGGUAAGUGGAACUCCAUGUGUAGCGGUGGAAUGCGUAGAUAUAUGGAAGAACACCAGUGGCGAAGGCGGCUUACUGGACUGCAACUGACGUUGAGGCUCGAAAGUGUGGGUAGCAAACAGGAUUAGAUACCCUGGUAGUCCACACCGUAAACGAUGAACACUAGGUGUUAGGAGGUUUCCGCCUCUUAGUGCCGAAGCUAACGCAUUAAGUGUUCCGCCUGGGGAGUACGACCGCAAGGUUGAAACUCAAAGGAAUUGACGGGGACCCGCACAAGCGGUGGAGCAUGKGGUUUAAUUCRAAGCAACGCGAAGAACCUUACCAGGUCUUGACAUCCUUUGAAGCUUUUAGARAUAGAARUGUUCUCUUCGGAGAACAAAGKGACAGGKGGUGCAUGGUCGUCSUCCAGCUCGUGUCCGURAGAUGUUGGGUUAAGUCCCSCAMCGAGCSCMACCCUUAUUGUUAGUUGCCASCWUUCARAUGGGCACUCUAGCAGARACUGCCGGKGAMAAACCGGARRAAAGGSGGGGACGACGUCMGAWCAUCAUGSCCCUUAURAACCUGGGCUACACCACGKGCYAMAAKGGCGUAUACAACGAGUUGCCAMCCCGCGAGGGKGASCWAAYCUCUUAAARUACSYCYCAGUUCSGAUUGURGUCUSCAGACYCCGACUACAUGAAGUCGGAAUCGCUAGUAAUCGCGGAUCAGCACGCCGCGGUGAAUACGUUCCCGGGUCUUGUACACACCGCCCGUCACACCAUGGGAGUUUGUAAUGCCCAAAGCCGGUGGCCUAACCUUUUAGGAAGGAGCCGUCUAAGGCAGACAGA
rnacentral:rRNA from 1 species